UACGUAGGGCGCAAGCGUUGUCCGGAAUUAUUGGGCGUAAAGAGCUCGUAGGCGGUUUGUCGCGUCUGCUGUGAAAACCCGAGGCUCAACCUCGGGCCUGCAGUGGGUACGGGCAGACUAGAGUGUGGUAGGGGAGACUGGAAUUCCUGGUGUAGCGGUGGAAUGCGCAGAUAUCAGGAGGAACACCGGUGGCGAAGGCGGGUCUCUGGGCUGAUACUGACGCUGGAGGAGCGAAAGCGUGGGGAGCGAACAGG
rnacentral:rRNA from 1 species